rnacentral:lncRNA from 1 species
CUUAACACACAAUCCUCACUGUAUACUCACAAUAACACUCAAAAACUGAAAUGUUCAUAUGAUAAGCGUAACUAAGCAUGUUAUGAUUGAUUUACGAGAAACAAAUGAUAAACAAUAACAAACGCAUCGGAUCUUGUCGCCGAAAUCUUCGCUCCUAUUGGUCAAUCAGCACGUGUCCACAGCACGCGUCACUCGCCGGCCCCACCCAAUUUUUUUCUUGUCGCGACUUGCGUUGCAUCUGCAUGAACAUCCGCAUUGAUAAUUGCGGAUGCGGAUGCGAAGGUCGCUAUCGAUGCGGAAGCUUCGCAAUUGCGGAUGCGGAUGCGAAUAUCCGCAACAUCACUAAUUCAGAUUAAGAUGAAGAAAUUUUUGCGUUCCUUUAUCGUGUGAAACUACAAACAGGAAAAAUCUCAAUCGAUCGAUGCUCAACUAGAGAAAGAAGGCUC